rnacentral:rRNA from 1 species
UACGUAGGGUGCGAGCGUUAAUCGGAAUUACUGGGCGUAAAGCGUGCGCAGGCGGCGCGUUAAGACAGGUGUGAAAGCCCCGAGCUUAACUUGGGAAUUGCGCUUGUGACUGGCGAGCUGGAGUGUGGCAGAGGGAGGUGGAAUUCCACGUGUAGCAGUGAAAUGCGUAGAGAUGUGGAGGAACACCGAUGGCGAAGGCAGCCUCCUGGGCCGAUACGUGACGCUGAGGAGCGAAAGCGUGGGGAGCGAAACAGG